UACGAGUGCCUCAAGCGUUAUCCGGAAUCAUUGGGCGUAAAGGGUGUGUAGGUGGCUUUGUUAGUCUUCUGUUAAAUUCUUCGGCUUAACCGGGGGCAUGCAGAGGAAACGGCAAAGCUAGAGGAUGGGAGAGGUUUGCGGAACUCAUGGUGUAGGGGUGAAAUCCGUUGAUAUCAUGGGGAACACCAAAAGCGAAGGCAGCAAACUGGCCCACUCCUGACACUGAAACACGAAAGCGUGGGUAGCGAAUGGG
rnacentral:rRNA from 1 species